CCUGCAGGAUAGUGUGUAUCGGCUUAACGCUUUUUUGUGCGUCUUGUGCCGAAAGUUGUUUCCUGCUAUAUUGAUCUGGGGAAAGUGGGCAGUUGGGUUAAGCUUUUGUGCUUUUUUCAACAAUCAUUUUCCUCUCAUUU
rnacentral:snoRNA from 1 species